rnacentral:lncRNA from 1 species
UGGCUGGCGGCCAUCUUGGAUGAUGGAUCGGCUACAAAGUAACAACACUUGGUCAGCACCUCAUAAGGAACAUUCAUGUCAUGUUUAGUUUUAUUCCAUUCAGUGGUUCUCUAGAAGAAGUCAUUUGUAUGCAUUUCCCAUAGGGUCCUAUGUUAAACUAAGUCCCCCGCUGGCGGCCAUCUUGGAUGAUGGAUCGGCUACAAAGUAACAACACUUGGUCAGCACCUCAUAAGGAACAUUCAUGCCAUGUUUGGUUUCAUUCCAUUCAGUGGUUCUCUAGAAGAAGUCAUUUGUAUGCAUUUCCCAUAGGGUCCUAUGUUAAAAUAAGUCCCCCGCUGGCGGCCAUCUUGGAUGAUGGAUCGGCUACAAAGUAACAACACUUGGUCAGCACCUCAUAAGGAACAUUCAUGCCAUGUUUGGUUUCAUUCCAUUCAGUGGUUCUCUAGAAGAAGUCAUUUGUAUGCAUUUCCCAAUGGGUCCUAUGUUAAACUAAGUCCCUGGCUGGCGGCCAUCUUGGAUGAUGGAUCGGCUACAAAGUAACAACACUUGGUCAGCACCUCAUAAGGAACAUUCAUGCCAUGUUUGAUUUCAUUCCAUUUAGUGGUUCUCUAGAAGAAGUCAUUUGUAUGCAUUUCCCAUAGGGUCCUAUGUUAAACUAAGUCCCCCGCUGGCGGCCAUUUGGAUGAUGGAUCGGCUACAAAGUAACAACACUUGGUCAGCACCUCAUAAGGAACAUUCAUGCCAUAUUUGGUUUCAUUCCAUUCAGUGGUUCUCUAGAAAAAGUUCAAAAUGUAAAAAGUUAACGACGACGACGACGGACGACG